rnacentral:rRNA from 1 species
UACGUCGGCAGCAAGCGUUGUUCGGAAUUACUGGGCGUAAAGAGUGUGUAGGCGGCGCUCUAAGUUCGGUGUGAAAUCUCCCGGCUUAACUGGGAGGGUGCGCCGGAAACUGGAGUGCUCGAGCGUGGGAGAGGAAAGCGGAAUUCCUGGUGUAGCGGUGAAAUGCGUAGAUAUCAGGAGGAACACCUGCGGUGUAGACGGCUUUCUGGACCAUUGCUGACGCUGAGACACGAAAGCGUGGGUAGCAAACAGG